rnacentral:lncRNA from 1 species
AGACCUACUGAAUCAAAAUCAGCAUAUUUAGCAAGAUCCCCAGGUGAUUCGCAGGCACAUUAAAGGUUGAGAAGCCACUGAGCCAGUCUAGAGUACUAGGGAAAACCUGAGCGCCCUCCUGAAACUUGUUUUUCAUCUCGGUCGCUUUGGAGUGCUCAUUCUGAAUGUUUCAAUCCCAAAGAUCUGAGGAGUUUGAGUGUAUCAAGUUUCAUGCAUAAAACGGUGAAAUGCCCCACUGAGAAAAUCUUUCUUGGCCUUGAUCGUGUUGUUUUUCUUGGAGUAUACAGGAGUAAAAAUUCAAAACCACACCAGGUUAAGUGUUAUUCAGGGUUUCCUAUGUGUCCUGGACCCUGGAAAUAGAUGGAUAAACAAGACAGACAUGGUCCUAGACCUCCUGGAGCUUACAGUCCAGUGGGAAAGACAGAAAAUGAACAAUUAACAGAAUGGCCUUUCUUUUGCUCAGCUGUUUUAAAAUCAUUCUACCUUUCCCAAAGUGUUGACCACGGAAGGUCAAAGAGGUCACCUCUCCCCGGGGUAUUUGCAUUUUGAUGGGGACUGUACAAGACACCGAAGAAUAAGCUCACGGAAAGCUUUCUGACACUGUGUGGGGAGAGCAACUACUCCACUUACUUGAAAGGCUAGUUUUGUUUGGAGGCAAUUUUUUUCCUCAAAAGUGUUAAUUGUCACCUUUAUUUGGAAGCCGAGAUUAAAUAGCCUUCCCCUCCAUCCUUGCUUGAUGCAUUCUGGAAAAGGAGCUCAGUUUGCCAAGAUUACUGCCAGGACUGACACAUCCACAGAGUAGAUGGUUUCUAUUAAAAAAUUCCCUUUCCUGUUGUUUCGGUGGAGCUUUGGGAAGGAGCAAAAGGAAGGUUCUACAUUUCUAGAUUCAAAUUCCUUCUGAGGAGAUCCUGUUAACUGGAGAACCCUUUAUGCUGCUGAGCUGGAGAGCUGGAGGGGGCUCAGCUGCGUAGCAAGGUGGAAGACAAAAUAAGGAGGGGUGAGAAUGAGGAGAAUGGAGCCAAUGACACCCAGCAUUGUAUGGAGGAAGGAAAGAGAGAAAAUCAUUGUAUCAGGAAGGCUAAGAAUGGACUUGGGAGGAUACAAAUGUCAGAUUUUAAAGUUGAUUGCUUUGGGUAGCAUGAUGUAAAUUCUUUCUCAAUCGCCACUGUCGAAUCUUAAGAAAGUCUACCUUACCCUCAAAUGCUUUGUGAGAGUGGAUUCUUCACAGGAUACUCAACGAGGUAUUGACAUUUAUGUCUGGAUGAAUACAUGCAGCGGAGCUAAGUAACUGAGCCAGUAGUCUACCUCAGGUCUGCAUGAUGCUGACACCUACACUCUCAACUGCUAGGCUUAUACUGCUGUUGCUUGGCUUUAAGGAAGAAUUAUUUUGCCCUGAAUAUGCCAGCAUUAUGAAGUUCCUUCUUUUAUGGAGUUGUGUUCCAAAACUGAGGUGUGGACCCAGGGAGUGCAUACCCACUCUAGUUUUCCAUAGCUGCUCCUAGAGUAACUCUGCCUGGUUAGUCAACCCCUAAGGGUCCACAUGACCUGACAAAGAAGAUAGUUGUGAUCCUUCUUGUCCUUACGUUCGGCUGUGACCGUGUAAUUUAUCUUGGGUCCUCCUGGAGUAGGUUACAGGUGGCCAGAAGCAGUCAGUCCUUCUGGGAGGAAAUAUAAACCCAAGCAGCCAAACCAAAAGAAAAGAAAAACUCGGUCUCUGGUGAGAGCGGUAGAGAGGAGCCAAAAGCCCUAACUCUGGAUACAUAAAAUGAAUACCCCCAAAUCUUCCCAUCACCACCACUUAUUAUUAUAGUAAUUAUGCCACUAGUUAUUACUAAUAGUAAAUAGGAAAAAAUAGAUUUUAGGAAUUAGAAAAGGUCUGUUUCUAUCUCUUCCCUUUCCCAUAGGCUGAAAUGAUUCUCACCCUACUUCUGUCCAACCCCUACUGCUUCUGUUUCUCCCAGGUUCUUGUUCCCUUGCCUUAUUGCCCACUUUUCUUCUUCCCCUGCUAGCCUACUUUCUCCUUUUCCAUAGGCCAGCCUUUGUUCUCCUCUAACAAUAAACUUGGCAGCACAGUGCACAGAAAAGAGGUUAGCUGUUUAAAACGUGUUAGUACCUAUCCAACACCAUGGAGAGGAAGGUUGGUUGGUUUUUACAGGACUAGUUCCACUAUUCAGAAAAAUUCCCUUAAUAGAAGAUUUACUGAUUAAUUCAUAUUACCUAAUUAUAAAUAACAUUUGGGAGAAAACAGGUAUAGCAGAUGCUGUUGGUGCCCCACCCCUAUCGCCUUGACAUUUACCAUGUCCAUACAUGCUGCCCAACUUCCAGCUGCCACUCUGCCUGGAGCCCUCUCUGCCCUCCACCCUCCCAGAAGCAAUCCUUAACCAAUGACUGAUGGAGUUACUGGAUAAAUAUCCCAGUUCCCUUGCCUCAUGCGUGGGAUACAUCUGAGGCAUGUUCUCCCAGGGAGAUUGUGCUCCAGCUGCCCUUACUGAUCUUGCUCAUCAAGGCAAAUUUUACUGGCUUCCUUCCUUUCCCUGUUUUACUUCUUUACUUCCUGACUAAUAUUUCCAGGAAUUAUCUGCCAAAUAGAUACUUGAAUUUAAACCAUUUUCUCAGGGUCAAUUUUGGGAGAACAUAAAUCAAGAAAACAAUUUAAUUUGCCUGACCUAUUGAUUACUAAGCAAGCUUCUGAUUUGUAGUUUGGUGACAUUAGUGGCUCAUUUCUGAUAGGAUGUUCUGUGCAGAUAACUUGUCCUGUUUAUAUGUAAAUCCUAUCUGUGGCUGAUUAAUGACUCUUGGAAAUAUUGUUGAUGUGAGUCAAUCUUCUAGAACAGAAAUUGGCAAAGUACAACCUGUGUGUCAAGUCUGUUCAGUCACUUGUUUU